rnacentral:snRNA from 1 species
UUGCUUGCUUCAGCCUCACAUAUAGUAAAAUUAGAACAAUACAGAGAAGAUUAGCAUGGCCCCUGUGCAAGGAUGACAUGCAAAUUCAUGAAGUGUUCAAAAAAAAA